rnacentral:rRNA from 1 species
GACGAACGCUGGCGGCAUGCUUUACACAUGCAAGUCGAACGAGUGGCGAACGGGUGAGUAAUGUCUGGGAAACUGCCUGAUGGAGGGGGAUAACUACUGGAAACGGUAGCUAAUACCGCAUACCAUCAGAUGUGCCCAGAUGGGAUUAGCUUGUUGGUGGGGGAACGGCUCACCAAGGCGACGAUCCCUAGCUGGUCUGAGAGGAUGACCAGCCACACUGGAACUGAGACACGGUCCAGACUCCUACGGGAGGCAGCAGUGGGGAAUAUUGCACAAUGGGCGCAAGCCUGAUGCAGCCAUGCCGCGUGUAUGAAGAAGGCCUUCGGGUUGUAAAGUACUUUCAGCGGGGAGGCGUUACCCGCAGAAGAAGCACCGGCUAACUCCGUGCCAGCAGCCGCGGUAAUUC